rnacentral:rRNA from 1 species
UACAGAGGGGGCGAGCGUUGUUCGGAAUUACUGGGCGUAAAGGGCGCGUAGGCGGCCUUCUAAGUCGAACGUGAAAUCCCCGAGCUCAACCCGGGAACUGCGUCCGAUACUGGGAGGCUUGAAUCCGGGAGAGGGAUGUGGAAUUCCAGGUGUAGCGGUGAAAUGCGUAGAUAUCUGGAGGAACACCGGUGGCGAAGGCGACAUCCUGGACCGGUAUUGACGCUGAGGCGCGAAAGCCAGGGGAGCAAACGGG